rnacentral:lncRNA from 1 species
AACGCCUUCUAGGGAGAAGAGGAUAUGACAGGCGGGACAUGACAGACGGGACAUGACAGACGGGACAUGACAGACGGGAUAUGACAGACGGGAUAAAACAGACGGGAUAAAACAGACGGGAUAUGACAGACGGGACAUGACAGACGGGAUAAAACAGACGGGAUAUGACAGACGGGACAUGACAGACGGGACAUGACAGACGGGAUAUGACAGACGGGAUAAAACAGACGGGAUAAAACAGACGGGAUAUGACAGACGGGAUAAAACAGACGGGAUAUGACAGACGGGAUAAAACAGAUGGGCUAUGACAGACGGGACAUGACAGACGGGACAUGACAGACGGGACAUGACAGACGGGACAUGACAGACGGGAUAUGACAGACGGGAUAAAACAGACGGGAUAAAACAGACGGGAUAUGACAGACGGGAUAAAACAGAUGGGCUAUGACAGACGGGACAUGACAGACGGGACAUGACAGACGGGACAUGACAGACGGGAUAUGACAGACGGGAUAAAACAGAUGGGCUAUGACAGACGGGACAUGACAGACGGGAUAAAACAGAUGGGCUAUGACAGACGGGACAUGACAGACGGGACAUGACAGACGGGACAUGACAGACGGGAUAUGACAGACGGGAUAAAACAGACGGGAUAAAACAGACGGGAUAUGACAGACGGGAUAAAACAGAUGGGCUAUGACAGACGGGACAUGACAGACGGGAUAUGACAGACGGGAUAAAACAGAUGGGCUAUGACAGACGGGAUAAAACAGAUGGGCUAUGACAGACGGGAUAAAACAGAUGGGCCAUGACAGACGGGACAUGACAGACGGGACAUGACAGACGGGAUAUGACAGACGGGAUAAAACAGACGGGACAUGACAGACGGGACAUGACAGACGGGAUAUGACAGACGGGAUAAAACAGACGGGACAUAACAGACGGGACAUGACAGACGGGACAUGACAGACGGGACAUGACAGACGGGACAUGACAGACGGGACAUGACAGACGGGACACAAACGUGACUGCUGAGUUCGUUCACACAAGCUUUAAAAAGGAGGUUUUCGAGGAGGGAAGAAGGACCCUUGUCGAUGUAAACUCUUAUCUCCCCUCACCACUCCACGGGUUUAUUCCCACGGAACCAAACGGAAGCAAACAGGGAGGGACUAACCUGAACUUUUCUCAUAAGAACACUCGUUUUUCAUUUACGAAACGUUUUCCAUUACAAAACGAUUUGCACUAAUGAAUACAACCCAUCGCCCACUUUCUCCUGACAAUCCUACUGUCUUCUUCUACUUGGUGACAGACUCACAGUCUCACAAUGCCUCAACUGAAUUGGUAUCAGAUGGGAGAGAGAGGCCGCACACGCAAACACACUGAACUAUGAUCUUGUUG